rnacentral:rRNA from 1 species
UACGGGGGGGGCAAGCGUUGUUCGGAAUUACUGGGCGUAAAGGGCCAGUAGGCGGCCAACUAAGUCGGAUGUGAAAUCCCCAGGCUUAACCUGGGAACUGCAUCCGAUACUGGAUGGCUUGAAUUCGGGAGAGGGAUGCAGAAUUCCAGGUGUAGCGGUGAAAUGCGUAGAUAUCGGGAGGAACACCAGUAGCGAAGGCGACACUCUGGGCCGGUACUGACGCUGAGGAGCGAAAGCGUGGGGAGCAAAGCAGGAGU